CUUCUCCUGAUGAGUUUGUUAACGAAAACACCCAGCAUAUGCUUUUGGAUUUCGAUGUGGAUCAUAUAUUGACAGCGAAUAGUAUUGAUGAUGAACAUUCAGAUGAUGAACAUUGGUUCUCAGAUGAGUCUGAAGGUAUAUUGUUAUUCAGUUAUUUGUAUGGUUUUAUAAAUUUUUGCUGAGUGUGAUGCCUGUUUGCAUCUAGUUGUGGGUGGUUGUUUAAAUGUGGAAACUGUAAUUUAAUAUUUUUUUUAAAAUUUUCAUCUAAAUAUUGCUGUUUGUAUAUUUUUUGCUAAUUUUAGAGAUGACAAUGUAUCUUUGAUACAUAAUAAUUUCCUUGUUAUGAUUUUGUAGAAAGAGAUUUACUUGAGUGGUUGGCUGGUCUUGAACCUGUCCAAGAUGUAUAUGAUAAUGAAAGAGGUGAUCAAGGUGAUAGGGCAGAAAGAGAUGACAAGUUAAGUGAUGAAGACGAAAGUGAUGGGGAGGAAGAAAUCGCCCACUCUGUACCAUUCAAGUGCAUCGGUGCUGCUCAUGAGAAAAACUACUGACAUCAUUUGGAAAAUUAAGGCAUAAUACCUCGCUCUUCAUGAACAAGAUAAAACAGUGAAUUCAAUGUAAGAAUACGGCCAGCACCAUUGAAUCCAAGGGACCGAAGUGCAAUAGCCAAUUCCAGCUUUUAGAUUAUGUGUGCAGGGGGUGAUGGUAUCAUAUUGCUGAUAAUGCUGAAAAAUAGAAAUGGUAGCCAUGUAAACAUGGAGUGAUAGCUAUUGUAAAUAUUGAAAUAUUUUGGUUGUUUAGGCAGUUUAUUAAAAAUUUUCAGCAUAAUCAGGAAUAUGAUACCUUACUUCCCGUCACCCUCUGCAUGCAUAAAUUAAAAGCUGGAAUUGCCUAUUGAUCUAGACUAUGGAACUGUAUGGACACAUGUUGUUUAUAUUGCUUCUGAACUAUGCAAGUAUUUGCACCCACUAAUUGCUGCAGGAGAUGUCCUGGAUGUCUAUGUUCUGUGUAUCAAGUAUAGGGUUGACUUUUUUAAAAUAGGAUUUUAUCCAAAAAUUUUCAUAAAGACACCUGGUGAGUGGAGACUCGAGUAGUAGGAAAAAGCAUGAGUGUAUGUUGACAUAUGUUUUUUAUAUAAUAAAUAGCAACUACCAUAGGUAUGUUUAGCAAGUUAUUAGUGCAUUUAUUUCAAUUGGCUAACUUUUUUAGUUUUUCCAGCAUUUUUUAAACAAAUCAUAGGUUAUGAAUGAUAACUGGGUAUAUCUAAUUAAAACAAUCUGUCAUGUACACUCAU